UGAAGACACAAAGCUAUUCACUACAUAGUGAUCAGUGCGAAACGUUGCGGUUUUACACUAGCAGACGUGGACGCUUGAUUGCUAUUUUGCAGAUUAACUUUAUGUAAAUUAAAGCAUUUUUCAAGGAAUAAUAAAUGCAUUCACAUUGAUAGGACGGUAAACGGAAAGGAAUUAAAGUGUCCCUGCCUUAAUCAAAGGUACUUGGAAGUGUAUACGGUCAAAUAUGCGCCAGUUGAAAGGGAAACCGCAGAAAGAAACAAGAAAAGACAAGAGAGAAAGAAGAAAAGAUAACAUAGAAAACAAAAACAAUGUAACAAGAGUUGUCUUGCCUGUGUGUGGCGUACUGAUUGCCGUGCUCGUUGCCUUUGUUUUAUACAGCACGAAUUUCAAACUAUGACCUGGCGUUUACUAAAAGAUGACAGCGUGUCGUAGUGACAGUGACUUUGCGAUUUGUCAGUGAAAUUUUCUUUAAAGUAUAACCUGUAUCUGUUUAUUUACAAAACGUUUUAUCUAAAUUCAUGGACCUCUUUUCAAAAGUUUAUAAGCUUCAUUCUAAGGUAUCGACUUUGAAAACCAAAUUAUUUCGUAGGAUUUAACUUGUACUAUCAUUUUAAAAAGUUGUCAUUAAUUCAAUUUUAUGACAAUUUUUCUUCGGCGCAUGCUCUAAGAAUAGCCAACUUUUUGAAAUGAUGUUCGUGAAACACAUUACUAUAUUUUAACUUUGUUUUGAGUAUUGUAGACUUCAUAAAAUGGGCCUCUGUUCUCAGCGCCUCGGACAUAAAUAUUUAAGAAGUUGAAUUUCAAUUUUAUCUCGGCAUGUGACUGUCUGUUUGAAUAUGAAUUUGAAUAUUAUUGUUUUGGUUCUGUUUUUAAGAAACAAGCUAAUUUAAUUAUAAGUGAUGAUAACUCAGGUUCUGCUAUUUUAAGCAUCUUAUAACUAUAUCACAGUGUGCGUAUAUGCAUGCUAACAAUGUUUUUUUUAUCUUCAUAUGAAAAACAGCUGGUUAUUUUAUUUAUAUGUAUAUCUGUAAAUUUCUUAUGAACUUUUUUAUUACCUUAUUUGGCCUACAUUGUUAGCUCUAUAAAUAGAACAUAGUGUAGUUAGUUAAAAUUACAACUGAGGCGUCAGUUCUCCGAUGAUUUUCCUCUGAUGAUUCGACAAGGGCAAUGCGUCGAAGGACAUUCACGACGGACAGGUUAAUGUUGUUAAGAAUCCAGUAAGAGUAUUUCAUUAUAUUUCUGCCGCCAAGUUCAAUGGAAUCAGCGAAACCUCAGAGGAAGUUAUAGACUUUUUACGCAUUAUCUAGUCAAAUGAUUUAAGUUUGUAUGACGAGGAGCAAGACCGGCAAUUAAUGUUAAAGAUACAUUGUGCCUUAAUAAUACCUAUGCUGUAUUGAUGUAAACAUACAUAAAGCACAUUUGUGUAUAUACACUCAACAAAAUUCCUAAUCGGUCAGUUUUUAUUGUAUUACUGUUUUGUAAACAAUGCAAGUAUUUACACGAAUUUCACAUACCGACAUUUGAAUAGGUACUGCACCUAAUUAUAGAUUUAUUUUUGACCGACUCACCGCCAAAGUAACCGCUUUAGGCGUUUUGGCCAAUUUAGCAUAUUUUGCACGUGCAUGGCAUGUGCACGAAUAUGCACGUGUUAAUAAACUCUUUUGGCAUUACUGACGAAAGUCCUAUUAGAAAAACACAUAUGAUCGUGAAAUUGACACAAGAGCAACGCGCCCGGGCUGUCGAAAUUAUACAACAAAAUUCAAAAUCGGUCACUUAAAUGAAUUGUACUUUGGUUAAAUUUCGACAAAAGAGCGCGGAUGGUAGAUAACCAACGAGUGAAUGUUCUUGUAAACGGAAAUAAGGUUACAAAUGGAAAUAACCACCAAAGUAACAGUUACAAACAAAUUACAUCAAAAUUCUAUUGAAAUUGUAAAAAUAAUUACACACGUGUCGUAGAUGUGUCCCAGCUAGCAGCAUUCCGACAGCUCGAUCUAAUUGCUCUUGUGUCAAUUUCACCAUAAUAUGUGUUUUCUAGUUGGACUUUCGUAAGUAAUGCCAAAAUUGUGAACGAACACGUGUAUGUUGGUGCACAUGAAAUGCACGUGCAAAAUAUCCAAUAUUAGGCAAAACGCCUAAUGCGGUUACUUUGGCCGUGAGUCGCCAAAAAUAAAUUAAUAAUUAGCUGAAGUACUUAUUCAAAUGUCGGCAUGUGAAAUUUCGUGUAAAUACAUGCAUUACUGACAAUAUAGUAAUACAAAUAUAAACUGACCGAUUAGGAAUUUUGUUGAGUGUAAACAGUUCUUUGUGGUCAGUUAAAUUCUGCUCACGUAAUAUAUGUAUAUGUAUAUGCCGUUAAAAUAGAUUACAUUUAACAUUGGCUGCUACUGAUUGUGAUGGCAUCUCUACGCACACGAUUAACUUACAUAUCUAUUCAAAUUAAAUAUAUUUUUAAGAUUUUCUGCAUUUGUAAAUAAUAAAAUGUUUUAGUGAAAAAAAGAGAACGAUACUUCUUUAAUUGUAUCAAUCGUUUAAUUAAUGUCCCCGUCCGACCUGCCAUGUGUAUUGGAUAGACCAUACUCGAGAAGAUAGUUUUAACAAUAUUUAAAGCAACAACGGACACUUGUAUUAUUUCCGUUUUGUGUGUUGUGUAUGAUUUUAUAAUGCAUAUACUCAAACCGUCAUUUACCUUACAUUUAAUAUCAAAAAGCUCAUUAUCUCGUGCACAUUUUAUCAUUAUAUAUGUUUUACUGUUAUAAUUUUAUUGUCAGCACCAACUAGAGUAUUGAGAAUACGUAAAAGAUUUUUCAGCAUUCAUGACAUAUUUUACUCAGAGUUUUAGAUAUUAUAUUCCGCGUAAAAUUUCUUCUUCAUAAAUGAUCAGAUUUUAAUUUAUAUGGAUUUUGUCUGAAAUAAUUUCAAUGUACUUUCUGAUGGCGUUAUGAACUUCAAUGAAUUUAGUUGAAACAAAACAUUAAUAAACAAAGUAUUAAAAGCAUUCAUUCACCCGGAAGUUAAUUGAUUAUGUAUAGCUGUCAUGUUAGAAAUUCAUAAGUAUUUGUACUUACAAAGGCAUUAAACUGUUUCAUGUAUUAUUACGUUGAAUAAAAUUGAUCAAGUUUGAA